AAAACAUCAUAUAAAUAGCGAGUCUAAUGAAACUUAAUUUUCUACUUAUCUUGCAGAUUAGUUUUUGAUCAUUUAUUGUUGUUACUACAUCAAAAGAUAGCUAACUCAAGAAAGAUUAAACGAGAUACUAAUUUUGAGUAUGAAAGUCAAUUUCAACAGAUUCUUUGUUAUCAUAAAUUAAAAGACAUUUUUGAUUAAAAAAUACACGGGGACAUAGUUUUAGAUGAAUUUAUGUAUGUUAUUGUUUGUAUAAACUUGAGUUAGUUUGGCUAUAAAAUGUAUUUCACUUUUUCUAUAUACAUUUUCUAUAUAAAAGGGCAUUAAUUUA